AUCAUAUUACCGCCGGGUAAACGUCUUUGUUCAUUCCGUAGGCCUAUGAAGGAAUGAAUGACAGGGCGUUUUAUUU
rnacentral:ncRNA from 1 species